rnacentral:tRNA from 2 species
GGAAGUGUUUGCACACCUGGUGGUGGCCGCGGUUUUCAAAACCGUAGGGCCGCACGUUAACCGUGUGGUCGGUGGGUUCGAUUCCCAUACACUUCCGCCA